GAUCGGGAGGAGAAGGGGAUGCAUUGCGGGGGUGGGGGUGGGGAUGGCACGUUGUGUCCUUUGGCAAUAACAAGUUGAGGGGAGGGAGGAGGAGCACGGAGUGCUGCAGUGGGGGUACCAGGCAGUGCCUGCUGGAAAUCAGAGCUUUUUUUUUUUGUAGGGAUGGUUCAUUCUGCUUGCAGCAGAAUGGUGCGCCUCUCCUGGGCAACCCAAAAUAUAGGCUUGCAAUGGGUUUUUUUUCCCACUGUGUACUCCCAAGGGAUCAUUUUGGUGUUUCUUUUUGAGGAGCAAAACCAUCUUUGUGUCAUGGGCACAUAGCAAAGUUAUGGGUCUGGUUGUGUGGGGGGUGACCAUGGAGUCACCUUGGAGAGUGACCAGGAAGGGUGACCAUAGAGGGUCACCAUGGAGAGUGACCAUGGAGAGUGACCAUGGAGAGUGGCAAUAGAGGGUGACCAUGAAGGAUGACCAUAGAGGGUGAUGAUGGAGGGUGAUCAUGGAAGUGACCAAGGAGAGUGACAAUGGAGGGUGACCAUGAAGGGUGAUGAUGGAGGCUGACCAUGGAGGGUGAUGACGGAGGAUGACCAUGAAGGGUGACCAUGAAGGAUGACCAUAGAGGGUGAUGAUGGGGACUGACCAUGGAGGUAAUGAUGGUGGGUAACAAAGGAGAGUUACCAUGGAGAGUGACAAUGGAGGGGAACCACGAGGGGUGAUGAUGGAGGCUGACCACGGAGGGUGAUGACGGAGGAUGACCAUGAAGGUGACAGUGGAGACUGAUGAUGGAGACUGACCAUGGAGGGUGACCAUGGAGACUGACCAUAAAGGCUGACCAUACAGGAUGACAACGGAAGGUGACCAUGGCACGUCCUGCCCACAUCUGGGCAUUUUAACAGCAUUUAGGCAGGGAAUGGUGACCUUCCCUAGAAGCCCCCACCAUGGCUACCCCAGGUCACCUUCAGGCUGGGGACAGUUAGCGUCCUGCUUUCACUUGGAACGUGGUGAGUGACAGCCUGCCAGUAGUGGAGAUCAGGGUCUGCGUGCUGAUGCCGAGAUAAUGCACUGGGUAAUAGUUUUCGACAUAUUUCAUUGAAAUAUAACAAAAUAUUUGCAUAGAGUUAUUAGAUAAAUGGGAGCUGACUGGAGGCAGAG
ensembl:lncRNA